rnacentral:rRNA from 1 species
UUCCUACGGGAGGCAGCAGUUAAGAAUCUUGCACAAUGGGGGCAACCCUGAUGCAGCGACGCCGCGUGGAUGAUGAAGGCCUUCGGGUUGUAAAGUCCGGUAAGCAGGGAAGAAUAAGUCUGGGGUAAUAUUCCAGAUGAUGACGGUACCUGCCUAAAGCCCCGGCUAACUACGUGCCAGCAGCCGCGGUAAUACGUAUGGGGCAAGCGUUGUUCGGAAUUAUUGGGCGUAAAGGGCGUCUAGGCGGGGGAUUAAGUUAGAUGUGAAAGCCAUGGGCUCAACCCAUGAACUGCAUCUAAGACUGGUUCUCUUGAGUUCGGGAGAGGAGAGCGGAAUUCCCGGUGUAGCGGUGAAAUGCGUAGAUAUCAUGGAGGAACCCCAGGAGUCGCAACGCGGAUUUGAUACCCUGGUAGUGC